rnacentral:rRNA from 1 species
GAUGAACGCUGGCGGCGUGCCUAAUACAUGCAAGUCGAGCGAACAGAUGAGGAGCUUGCUCCUCUGACGUUAGCGGCGGACGGGUGAGUAACACGUGGAUAACCUACCUAUAAGACUGGGAUAACUUCGGGAAACCGGAGCUAAUACCGGAUAAUAUAUUGAACCGCAUGGUUCAAUAGUGAAAGACGGUUUUGCUGUCACUUAUAGAUGGAUCCGCGCCGCAUUAGUUAGUUGGUAAGGUAACGGCUUACCAAGGCAACGAUGCGUAGCCGACCUGAGAGGGUGAUCGGCCACACUGGAACUGAGACACGGUCCAGACUCCUACGGGAGGCAGCAGUAGGGAAUCUUCCGCAAAGGGCGAAAGCCUGACGGAGCAACGCCGCGUGAGUGAUGAAGGUCUUCGGAUCGUAAAACUCUGUUAUUAGGGAAGAACAAAUGUGUAAGUAACUAUGCACGUCUUGACGGUACCUAAUCAGAAAGCCACGGCUAACUACGUG